GGCAACAUGGCAGAGUGGUUAAUGCGUAAGCCUCGAAUACACUGGAUAGCUUAUGGGAUCUUCCCGCGCAGGUUCAAAUCCUGCUGUUGUCG
rnacentral:tRNA from 1 species